rnacentral:rRNA from 1 species
GACGGAGGGGCCGAGCGUUGUCCGGAGUUAUUGGGCGUAAAGCGCGCGCAGGCGGCCUCGCGCGCCCGACGUGAAAGCCCCCGGCUUAACCGGGGAGGGUCGUUGGGGACGGCGGGGCUUGAGGGCGGGAGAGGUCGGUGGAAUUCCCGGUGUAGUGGUGAAAUGCGUAGAGAUCGGGAGGAACACCUGUGGCGAAGGCGGCCGACUGGGCCGACCCUGACGCUGAGGCGCGAAGGCGUGGGGAGCGAACGGG